rnacentral:rRNA from 1 species
UCGGGUUGUAAAGCACUUUUGUCCGGAAAGAAAACUUCUCCAUUAAUACCGGGGGAGGAUGACGGUACCGGAAGAAUAAGCACCGGCUAACUACGUGCCAGCAGCGCGGUAAUCGUAGGGUGCGAGCGUUAAUCGGAAUUACUGGGCGUAAAGCGUGCGCAGGCGGUUCGUUAAGACAGAUGUGAAAUCCCCGGGCUUAACCUGGGAACUGCAUUUGUGACUGGCGAGCUAGAGUAUGGCAGAGGGGGGUAGAAUUCCACGUGUAGCAGUGAAAUGCGUAGAGAUGUGGAGGAAUACCGAUGGCGAAGGCAGCCCCCUGGGCCAAUACUGACGCUCAUGCACGAAAGCGUGGGGAGCAAACAGGAUUAGAUACCCUGGUAGUCCACGCCCUAAACGAUGUCAACUAGUUGUUGGGGAUUCAUUUCCUUAGUAACGUAGCUAACGCGUGAAGUUGACCGCCUGGGGAGUACGGUCGCAAGAUUAAAACUCAAAGGAAUUGACGGGGACCCGCACAAGCGGUGGAUGAUGUGGAUUAAUUCGAUGCAACGCGAAAAACCUUACCUACCCUUGACAUGGUCGGAACCCUGCUG